rnacentral:lncRNA from 1 species
GGCUCCACCAGUAAUAGGCCCGAGCUGGUGGCCAUGCUCAAGUCAGACAGCUUCGGCUUCCAAGAAAGCCUCACCCGGAGAUGUGGCCUCUCAGAGCAGGGGGCUCUGACCUCAUUUCCCAGAGAGGAACCUGAGGUCUAAGGAAGUGAGCAUCUUCCUCACCGACACUCAUCUCCCUGCCGCCCUCCCUGCUGGGCCGGGCCUCCCUGCAAGCCUCGUGGCCCCUGCUCGGUGCGGGCCUGCUGCUGCUGCUGUACAGCCCGCCCAGCCUCGGACCGUGCUGGCCUCCAGAAGUGAUAGCUAAUUGGGGAGAGAAAGGGCUCGAUUGUCUGCGGCAGCCGGAAAGGCCUGGAGGAGGCGGCCGCUUCGCCCUGCAGCUGCCGCCGGGAGAUGUUUGGGGAUUACGUCAGCCUGGCAGGCAGGGGCCGCGGGGACAGCACGGGAGGCGGGCUCCCGCAGGCCUCCCGCGGCCAGGGCCUCUGGACAAUGCUGCCAUUGUCGGUGCACGGAGUGCUUAGCUCCCCAUGAAUGGUACACGGGCCUCUUGACCAAGGAGGCCGCCUAUAGCCCCAACUGUCCUCCUCACAGGCGGGGAGGCCCAGUGCGGUGGGAAGGACUGGCUGUGGACUGCACGGAUCUGUCCUUCAGAAGGGGCCACCGGCAGGCAGGCAGGCAGGGCUGAGAUCAGGCUCCAGCGAGGCUGCUGCUACUGCUAUACCCUGCAUGGUGGCCUCCCUCCUCAGUAUGGCCUCCUGGCUGGGGGACACUGCUGGCUCUGACCCACUCAUGGUGCUCCUGGUUGUCAUUCUCCUGGUACGCUUCAUACUGUGGUCCUGUCUGGGGACCUAUAUGGACUAUAGGCUGGCCCGGCCUCAUCCUGGCAAACCCAAGGAAGAGUAAGCCAAGGGGCACAAUAAAGACCCAAUCUAGAAGGU